rnacentral:lncRNA from 1 species
GCCUGUACAUCAAAUGGGACAUACACAUCAGUGUGUACAAGAGUUAGUAUCUUAGUGGCCCUUUCCCCUUAUCUCCGAAAAGGUAGCUUGAUCAUUUUUUCUUGAAGGCAGGAUUUAUAGACCGGAUAUGACUCGAAAGUCAAUGGGCCCUUAAGCCCACUCUUAUCCAAUCUAUUAGUCCUUUCUUCUCCUAUAUGACCUAGCCUAAGGUGC